rnacentral:rRNA from 1 species
GAUGACGUUGAUAGGCCGGGUGUGUAAGCGCAGCGAUGCGUUGAGCUAACCGGUACUAAUGAACCGUGAGGCUUAACCUUACAACGCCGAAG